rnacentral:rRNA from 1 species
AUUGAACGCUGGCGGCAUGCCUUACACAUGCAAGUCGAACGGCAGCACGGGUGCUUGCACCUGGUGGCGAGUGGCGAACGGGUGAGUAAUACAUCGGAACGUACCUUAUCGUGGGGGAUAACGCAGCGAAAGCUGUGCUAAUACCGCAUACGCCCUGAGGGGGAAAGCGGGGGAUCGAAAGACCUCGCGCGAUUAGAGCGGCCGAUGCCUGAUUAGCUUGUUGGUGGGGUAAAAGCCCACCAAGGCGACGAUCAGUAGCUGGGCUGAGAGGACGAUCAGCCACACGGGGACUGAGACACGGCCCAGACUCCUACGGGAGGCAGCAGUGGGGAAUUUUGGACAAUGGGGGCAACCCUGAUCCAGCAAUGCCGCGUGAGUGAAGAAGGUCUUCGGGUUGUAAAGCUCUUUUGUCAGGGAAGAAACACCGGCUCUAACACAGUCCGGGAAUGACGGUACCUGAAGAAUAAGCACCGGCUAACUACGUGCCAGCAGCCGCCGUAA